rnacentral:lncRNA from 1 species
GAACAGUGCUAACACCCAAAGCAGUUUUCUACCUUUGUUUCUGCGUGCAUGGUUGUAUUUACAAAAACAUGACGUAUUCGUUAGAUGUCCACAAAGCCUGAUACAUGGUCACACUAUUUCCCCAAAUGCCCAUAUCUCUUCCAGGAUCUCUGUCUUCCUCCCCUUUCCUUCCUUUCUAUGGUUUCUUUCUUCCAAUUGCUUUGAGUUGGAGGUCACACACCCUCAGUUGGGUGGUCCCUCAGGCAGCUUUGGCUGACAGAACUGCAGUGUUCUCACUCAACACAAACACUGGCUCCUCUUGUUCUCGCUGUGGAUUUCCUUGCUGUGUUUGAGUUAUUGUGGUUUUUGUAUGCUGUGCAGUUAUUGAUGUAUGAAGCUUAACUCCUGUGGUUACUGUGAGGCGCAGUCCAUCUCUCAAUCUGAUUCUUCAGAUGGUUUUUCUGGAAAAGAAAAAGCAACGGAUGCUGAGGUGGGACAGCUUGUCAUGCCAUGGGAAACCCCGUAUUGCUUUGGUUUGGGGAAGACUCACCCGCUUCUUCAGUAUCUACCACUGGAAAAAAGGAAUAGAAAAGCAACACACGAUGAGAUGGGACAGCUUGUCAUCCCAUGGAUUGCCCCAUAUUCCUUUGGUUUGGGGACAAAGACUCACCCACUGCUUCAGUUUGUUCUGCUGGAAAAGAGAGAAAAGCACCACACGAUGAGAGGAACAUCUCAUCCCACAGCUCACACAGGAAGACCCCAAUGAUUUUAAUAUGGGAGGGGAGACUCACCCAUCU